rnacentral:lncRNA from 1 species
UAAAACCCCUUUUAUUUAUCCAGUAGCGCCCAGAUUUGGGCUUUCACCACCAUCAACCCAUUUUCUUCAUUUUUUUUUAUUUGUUCUUUCUUUUUUAUUAUAUUUUUCAUAAACACUUAUAAAAUAUAUAUUAGAUAGUUAUUAAUUCCUAAUAAUAAUUAAUUUAUUAUCUUACAAUAUUUAAAUAUCUUAUUUACUUUCAUUUCAUUCAUUUUAUUUACUUUCUUUCAAAAUUGCAUAAUUAUAUAUUGUCAUUAUUAUUAUUAAUACUUAAUGGUAAAUAUUCAAUUAUUUGGUUAUAUCAUUAUUUUUAAUUACUU